rnacentral:rRNA from 1 species
AUUGAACGCUGGCGGCAUGCCUUACACAUGCAAGUCGAACGGCAGCACGGGAGCAAUCCUGGUGGCGAGUGGCGAACGGGUGAGUAAUACAUCGGAACGUGCCCAGUAGUGGGGGAUAACCCGGCGAAAGCCGGACUAAUACCGCAUACGACCUACGGGUGAAAGCGGGGGAUCGCAAGACCUCGCGCUAUCGGAGCGGCCGAUGUCAGAUUAGCUAGUUGGUGGGGAAAGGCCUACCAAGGCGACGAUCUGUAGCUGGUCUGAGAGGACGACCAGCCACACUGGGACUGAGACACGGCCCAGACUCCUACGGGAGGCAGCAGUGGGGAAUUUUGGACAAUGGGCGCAAGCCUGAUCCAGCCAUGCCGCGUGC